rnacentral:rRNA from 1 species
UUUUGGUCGCCAACGAGUGGCGGACGGGUGAGUAACACGUAGGUAACCUGCCCAGAAGCGGGGGACAACAUUUGGAAACAGAUGCUAAUACCGCAUAACAGCGUUGUUCGCAUGAACAACGCUUAAAAGAUGGCUUCUCGCUAUCACUUCUGGAUGGACCUGCGGUGCAUUAGCUUGUUGGUGGGGUAACGGCCUACCAAGGCGAUGAUGCAUAGCCGAGUUGAGAGACUGAUCGGCCACAAUGGGACUGAGACACGGCCCAUACUCCUACGGGAGGCAGCAGUAGGGAAUCUUCCACAAUGGGCGCAAGCCUGAUGGAGCAACACCGCGUGAGUGAAGAAGGGUUUCGGCUCGUAAAGCUCUGUUGUUAAAGAAGAACACGUAUGAGAGUAACUGUUCAUACGUUGACGGUAUUUAACCAGAAAGUCACGGCUAACUACGUGCCAGCAGCCGCGGUAAUACGUAGGUGGCAAGCGUUAUCCGGAUUUAUUGGGCGUAAAGAGAGUGCAGGCGGUUUUCUAAGUCUGAUGUGAAAGCCUUCGGCUUAACCGGAGAAGUGCAUCGGAAACUGGAUAACUUGAGUGCAGAAGAGGGUAGUGGAACUCCAUGUGUAGCGGUGGAAUGCGUAGAUAUAUGGAAGAACACCAGUGGCGAAGGCGGCUACCUGGUCUGCAACUGACGCUGAGACUCGAAAGCAUGGGUAGCGAACAGGAUUAGAUACCCUGGUAGUCCAUGCCGUAAACGAUGAGUGCUAGGUGUUGGAGGGUUUCCGCCCUUCAGUGCCGGAGCUAACGCAUUAAGCACUCCGCCUGGGGAGUACGACCGCAAGGUUGAAACUCAAAGGAAUUGACGGGGGCCCGCACAAGCGGUGGAGCAUGUGGUUUAAUUCGAAGCUACGCGAAGAACCUUACCAGGUCUUGACAUCUUGCGCCAACCCUAGAGAUAGGGCGUUUCCUUCGGGAACGCAAUGACAGGUGGUGCAUGGUCGUCGUCAGCUCGUGUCGUGAGAUGUUGGGUUAAGUCCCGCAACGAGCGCAACCCUUGUUACUAGUUGCCAGCAUUAAGUUGGGCACUCUAGUGAGACUGCCGGUGACAAACCGGAGGAAGGUGGGGACGACGUCAGAUCAUCAUGCCCCUUAUGACCUGGGCUACACACGUGCUACAAUGGACGGUACAACGAGUCGCGAACUCGCGAGGGCAAGCAAAUCUCUUAAAACCGUUCUCAGUUCGGACUGCAGGCUGCAACUCGCCUGCACGAAGUCGGAAUCGCUAGUAAUCGCGGAUCA